AAGUCGUAACAAGGUUUCCGUAGGUGAACCUGCGGAAGGAUCAUUAAAGAUGUUUAAUAUAAAUAUCGUCAGUGUGCAACCCUCCUCCUGUUGCUGGGAUGAUGUGAGUACAUGUGUUUGUUAUUUGGCAUGUGUAUGUGAUGAGUAUGUGUGUGAGCGUGAAGGUUUCUGUGAAGAUGGAAACUGGGCCAUGCAUGUAUUUAGAGUGUAUACAUGAACAACUAGACUACAUCUACGAGCAUCGUCUAAUGCCCAGCAACAACCCCAUUCAUCAUUUAAACAUGACCGCGCCUACUCUUGUCGAUUCUCAAUGGAUUGAUAUAUGGGGAUGGCUCAAUACAAUGUACAACUUUUAGCAACGGAUCUCUUGGUUCUC
rnacentral:misc_RNA from 1 species